rnacentral:rRNA from 1 species
UUGACCUCGGAUCAGGUAGGGAUACCCGCUGAACUUAAGCAUAUCAAUAAGCGGAGGAAAAAGAAACCAACAGGGAUUGCCUCAGUAACGGCGAGUGAACG